rnacentral:sRNA from 1 species
CUUUGACUAAGGUUCGACUCGAGCGCCAGCGAGAGAGCGUUGCCGCAGGCAACGACCCGUAGGGCGAAGCGCGCAGCGCUGAGUAAUCCUUCCCCCACCACCA